GUGUCCCGUGGCCGCUCUAACAAAUGACCACAACCUGGGAGGCUUAUAACAACAGAAACCUACUCUCUCACAGUUCCGGAGGCC